UACGGAGGGGGCUAGCGUUGUUCGGAAUUACUGGGCGUAAAGCGCACGUAGGCGGCUUUGCAAGUUAGAGGUGAAAGCCCGGGGCUCAACUCCGGAAUUGCCUUUAAAACUGCAUCGCUAGAAUUGUGGAGAGGUAAGUGGAAUUCCGAGUGUAGAGGUGAAAUUCGUAGAUAUUCGGAAGAACACCAGUGGCGAAGGCGACUUACUGGACAGAUAUUGACGCUGAGGUACGAAAGCGUGGGGAGCAAACAGG
rnacentral:rRNA from 1 species